GAUAGCUUGCUAUCAAUGCUGACGAGCGGCGGACGGGUGAGUAAUGCCUGGGAAUAUGCCCUGAUGUGGGGGAUAACUAUAGGAAACGAUAGCUAAUACCGCAUAAUCUCUUCGGAGCAAAGAGGGGGACCUUCGGGCCUCUCGCGUCAGGAUUAGCCCAGGUGGGAUUAGCUUGUUGGUGGGGUAAUGGCUCACCAAGGCAACGAUCCCUAGCUGGUCUGAGAGGAUGAUCAGCCACACUGGAACUGAGACACGGUCCAGACUCCUACGGGAGGCAGCAGUGGGGAAUAUUGCACAAUGGGGGAAACCCUGAUGCAGCCAUGCCGCGUGUAUGAAGAAGGCCUUCGGGUUGUAAAGUACUUUCAGUUGUGAGGAAGGCGUUGGAGUUAAUAGCUUUACCGUUUGACGUUAGCAACAGAAGAAGCACCGGCUAACUCCGUGCCAGCAGCCGCGGUAAUACGGAGGGUGCGAGCGUUAAUCGGAAUUACUGGGCGUAAAGCGCAUGCAGGUGGUUUGUUAAGCAAGAUGUGAAAGCCCGGGGCUCAACCUCGGAACAGCAUUUUGAACUGGCAGACUAGAGUACUGUAGA
rnacentral:rRNA from 1 species